GAAUUCGAUUCAGGCCUAACACAUGCAAGUCGAACGGCAGCACGGGUGCUUGCACCUGGUGGCGAGUGGCGAACGGGUGAGUAAUAUAUCGGAACGUACCUUAUCGUGGGGGAUAACGCAGCGAAAGCUGUGCUAAUACCGCAUAAGCCCUAAGGGGGAAAGCAGGGGACCGUAAGGCCUUGCGCGAUUAGAGCGGCCGAUACCUGAUUAGCUAGUUGGUGAGGUAAAGGCUCACCAAGGCAACGAUCAGUAGCUGGUCUGAGAGGACGAUCAGCCACACUGGGACUGAGACACGGCCCAGACUCCUACGGGAGGCAGCAGUGGGGAAUUUUGGACAAUGGGGGCAACCCUGAUCCAGCAAGUGCCGCGUGAGUGAAGAAGGCCUUCGGGUU
rnacentral:rRNA from 1 species